rnacentral:lncRNA from 1 species
GCGACGCCAACCCGAUUCUGGUUGCUGGAGUUUAUCCUCCCGAGGUUGCUGUGCGAGUUUCGGACUCAGCUCAAGCGCUUGGAUCCCUACAGCACCUGCGAGGGCUUCUCCUGGCUGCCGCUUUCGUUCUGGCGAAUGUUCGGGGUGGCAGCCCCCCUUCGAGGCUUGCACGAGGGCGUCCCGGCAUCCGCGAUCAAGCGGGCCCUGCUGCUUUUGGGGCUGACCCUGCGGCUGGGGUGCUGCGGCGUCGCUCUGGCUAUGCCCGGUCCACUCACGGACUCCCUGCUUUGGCCUGCUCAGCUCAGGAGAACCGGGCCCGACUCCAUUUCGGGCAGUGGUGGACAGGGAAACUAGUGCCUGCCUGUAGUGGUCCCAGGCAUAGAGCUUCCUGCAGCUACCCUGUGGCUUAGUUCACGUUUUGUUGCUUUGACCACCGAUGAGAAAUGUGCAGUAGGGACCCUGUAGGAGUCUGCUUACCCGAAAUGGUUUCUGUCUUGAAUAGUUGUUGAGUGAAAGCUCUUGCUGCUGCUCACUCUUUGGGUCUGUGCCGCCUUCAUGAGCUGUGACACUCACCGUGAAGUUUUGCAGCUUCGCUCCUAAAGCCAGCGAGACCACGAACCCACUGGGAGGGACAGCAACUCUGGACGCGCCACUUUUACGAACUGUAGCACUCACCGCAAAGGUCUGCAGCUUCACUCCUGAGGCCAGCGAGACCACGAACCCACCGUGAAGGAACGAACAACUCCAGACGCGCCGCCUUUAAGAGCUGUAACACUGCAAAGGUCUGCAGCUUCACUCCUGAAGUCAGCGUAGACCACGAACCUAGCAGAAGGAAGAAACUUCGGACACAUCUGAACAUCUGAAGGAACAAACUCCGGACACACUAUCUUUAAGAACUGUAACACCGCGAGGGUCUGUGGCUUCAUUCUUGAAGUCAGCGAGACAAAGAACCCACCAAUUCGAUACACUGGGACCACAGGUGUGCACCACCAGUCUUGGCUAACUUUUGUAUUCUUUGUAGAGACAGGAUUUCCCCAUGUUGGCCAGGCUGGUCUCAAGCUCCUGGACUCAAGCCAUGUGCCUGCCUUGGUCUCACAAAGUGCUAGGAUUACGGGCAUGAGGCACCGCACCCAGUGAGACCCUAUUUCUACAAAAAAUACAAAAAUUAGCUGGGCAUAGUUGUGUGCACCUGUAGUCCUAGCUACUUGGGAGGCUGAGGCAGAAGGAUUGCUCAAGCCCAGGGGGUGGAGGCUGCAGUGAGCUAUGACUGUACCACAGCACCACAGCCUUCAUGACAGAGCGAGACUUCUAUCUCCCUUAAAAAAAAAAAAAGUUCAGGGUCUUUUGAGGGUGGGCUUCUACUGAACAUUGGACAUGUGGAGCUGAGGGCUGGGGUGGAGCACUGCAGGCAGACAGAAAAGCAUGAACAAAGGAAAGGAGGCAAGAAAGUGGGGGCUGAGGCAGCUGACCAUGGGCUGGAGGAACAAGCCCGUGGAGCUGCAGAAGGGGAAACACAGGAAGAAUUGGCUCCAGGAAGCAUUACCGGGCAGGCAUAUGUAUGGUGAUACUAGUGAGAGUGAGAUCAGCUGGAAAGCUGGGGUGGGAAGGCCUGGACCAGAGUAACAGCAGAGGAAAUGAGCAGAAGGCUUGGGGGCAGGAAACCAUCAGGACUUCUUAAAUUUGGGGGCGUAGAGCAGGAUCAGAGACAGGGAGGUGGAAAGUCGCUGGCUGAACUUGCAGCCCACCCCAGGUGCUGUCAAGCAUCCAGGUCAGGGUUAGAAAUUGGUCGCCUGGAGCUCAGGGCUGGGAUUUGGGCUUGUGGUUGACCUGCCUAUGGGUGAAAGUCAUCACCUCCGUAUUAAAAGGGAUUGCCAGCCGAGAAGGAGCCACGAAGGUGGAAGGAGACCAGGGGAGUCCCAGUCAAGAGGCCGCCUGAGGAACGUUUCAAGGAGAGAGGGUGCUCAGCAGUAGUGGAUGUUGGGGACACCUCAUUGGAACGCCUGGCACAUAGCGGACACUCAAUAUUUGUGAGCUGAAUGAAAGAAAAACCCGGAGUAAGAACAUGAUACAUUCAGGACAAGCAACAUGAAAGAAAUAGCAGUUGAAUUUGGGAGUCAAGAGAAUAACUGAGACCCUUUAAGUGGCAUAAGGGAGAAAAAAAGGAAAAAAUAACUGAGAGAUUGUUGCAUUUGUUCCAGAAAAUGGCUGGGACCUGCCCCAAGGCCAACACUAAGCACUGAUAAUUGACCAUUAGGAAACUCUGUCCCGACCUGCAGAGUGGAGGCUCCACUCCAGAGUGGAGGCUGGAGUGGUGUGGGGUUUAAUGUGCAACCUUUUUUUUUUUUUUUGACAGAGUCUUGCUGUGUUGCCCAGGCUGGAGUGCAGUGGCGCGAUCUUGGCUCACUGCAAACUCCACCCUCCCGGGUUCACGUCAUUCUCCCGCCUCAGGCUCCCGAGUAGCUGGUACUACAGGUGCCCACCACCACGCCUGGCUAAUUUUUUGUAUUUUUAGUAGAGAUGGGGUUUCACCAUGUUAGCCAAGAUGGUCUCAUCUCCUGACCUCAUGAUCCGCCCACCUCGGCCUCCCAAAGUGCUGGGAUUACAGGUGUGAGCCACCGCGCCUGGCCUAAUGUGCAACCUUUGUGUAGAGGUUGCAACGUAAAUGCAAAUGUGAGCCUUUUCCAUUCAAUCUCAACAUUUAGAGAUCAGAAAAAAUAAUAUAUAUAAUACUGCUAAAUGGCUCACAUAAUUCCAUUACAAAUCACUUCUUUCUUUCCACGUGUGUUUUUCUUUCCCCUUAGAAAUAAAGAGGAUGUAACAGGUUCUCUGGCACUGUGACCUUCCUUACAGCUUGCCUGUAAGUCCU